rnacentral:rRNA from 1 species
AAUAGAUACCCAGGUAGUCCUAGCCGUAAACGAUACUCGCUAGGUGUCGGCCACGGUGCGACCGUUGUCGGUGCCGUAGGGAAGCCGUGAAGCGAGCCACCUGGGAAGUACGGCCGCAAGGCUGAAACUUAAAGGAAUUGGCGGGGGAGCACCACAACGGGUGGAGCUUGCGGUUUAAUUGGAUUCAACGCCGGAAAUCUUACCGGGACCGACAGCAAUAUGAAGGCCAGGCUGAAGACUUUGCCGGAUUAGCUGAGAGGUGGUGCAUGGCCGUCGUCAGUUCGUACUGUGAAGCAUCCUGUUAAGUCAGGCAACGAGCGAGACCCACGCCCACAGUUGCCAGCGUACUCUCUGGAGUGACGGGUACACUGUGGGGACCGCCGCUGCUAAAGCGGAGGAAGGAAUGGGCAACGGUAGGUCAGUAUGCCCCGAAUAUCCCGGGCUACACGCGAGCUACAAUGGUUGGUACAAUGGGUAUCUACCCCGAAAGGGGACGGGAAUCUCCUAAAACCAAUCUUAGUUCGGAUUGAGGGCUGCAACUCGCCCUCA